rnacentral:rRNA from 1 species
CCUACGGGAGGCAGCAGUGAGGAAUAUUGGUCAAUGGACGAGAGUCUGAACCAGCCAAGUAGCGUGAAGGAUGACUGCCCUAUGGGUUGUAAACUUCUUUUAUAUGGGAAUAAAAUGUUCCACGUGUGGGCUUUUGUAUGUACCAUAUGAAUAAGGAUCGGCUAACUCCGUGCCAGCAGCCGCGGUAAUACGGAGGAUCCGAGCGUUAUCCGGAUUUAUUGGGUUUAAAGGGAGCGUAGGUGGAUUGUUAAGUCAGUUGUGAAAGUUUGCGGCUCAACCGUAAAAUUGCAGUUGAAACUGGCAGUCUUGAGUACAGUAGAGGUGGGCGGAAUGCGUGGUGUAGCGGUGAAAUGCUGAGAUAUCACGAAGAACUCCGAUUGCGAAGGCAGCUCACUGGACUGCAACUGACACUGAGGCUCGAAAGUGUGGGUAUCAAACAGGAUUAGAUACCCUAGUAGUC